UUGGCUCAAAUUUGUAUGGAAAUGCAACAGCUUCCCUUUGUUUGCCGCUAGGGGCGCUGUUCCAACUGCACACAAAUUUGAGUUA
rfam:Bombyx mori DNA, contig: Bm_scaf15_contig11695, strain: p50T/Dazao, build 2, whole genome shotgun sequence.